AGCGAACGCUGGCGGCAGGCCUAACACAUGCAAGUCGAACGAAGUCUUCGGACUUAGUGGCGGACGGGUGAGUAACACGUGGGAACGUGUCUUUAGGUUCGGAAUAACUCAGGGAAACUUGUGCUAAUACCGAAUGUGCCCUUCGGGGGAAAGAUUUAUCGCCUUUAGAGCGGCCCGCGUCUGAUUAGCUAGUUGGUGAGGUAAAGGCUCACCAAGGCGACGAUCAGUAGCUGGUCUGAGAGGAUGAUCAGCCACAUUGGGACUGAGACACGGCCCAAAAUCCUACGGGAGGCAGCAGUGGGGAAUCUUGCGAAAUGGGCGAAAGCCUGACGCAGCCAUGCCGCGUGAAUGAUGAAGGUCUUAGGAUUGUAAAAUUCUUUCACCGGGGACGAUAAUGACGGUACCCGGAGAAGAAGCCCCGGCUAACUUCGUGCCAGCCGCCGCCGUAA
rnacentral:rRNA from 1 species